rnacentral:rRNA from 1 species
AAUCCCAUCUGGGUAACUGGAUGGGGGAAGUGGCGAAAGGGGCAGUAAGGCGUGGGUAACCUACCCUGGGGACCGGGAUAGCCUUCCUAACGGAUGGGUAAUACCGGGCGAUCUGCCGAGGGGGCAUCUCCUUGUCAGGAAAUGAAUUUCGCCUCGGGAGGGGCUCACGUGAUAUUAGCUUGUUGGCGGGGUAAUGGCCCACCAAGGCUGAGAUGUCUAGCAGGUGUGAGAGCACGACCUGCGCCACUGGCACUGAGACACUGGCCAGACACCUACGGGUGGCUGCAGUCGAGGAUCUUCGGCAAUGGGCGCAAGCCUGACCGAGCGACGCCGCGUGUGCGAUGAAGGCCUUCGGGUUGUAAAGCACUGUCGAGGGGGAGGAAGGCGCAAGCUUGACCUAUCCCUGGAGGAAGCACGGGCUAAGUUCGUGCCAGCAGCCGCGGUAAGACGAACCGUGCGAACGUUGUUCGGAAUCACUGGGCUUAAAGGGCGCGUAGGCGGGCAAGCAAGUCCGGGGUGAAAGCCCCCAGCUCAACUGGGGAAGUGCCUUGGAAACUGCUUGUCUAGAGGGAGGUAGGGGCAUGUGGAACUUCGGGUGGAGCGGUGAAAUGCGUUGAUAUCCGAAGGAACGCCGGUGGCGAAAGCGACGUGCUGGAUCUCUUCUGACGCUGAGGCGCGAAAGCUAGGGUAGCGAACGGGAUUAGAUACCCCGGUAGUCCUAGCCCUAAACGAUGGGUACUAGAUUGCGGACUUAACAUGGGUUCGCAGUCGAAGCAAAAGUGGUAAGUACCCCGCCUGGGGAGUAUGGUCGCAAGGCUGAAACUC